rnacentral:lncRNA from 1 species
GCCCAAGAGGUGAAGCAGCUUGUCUGAGGUCACCCCGGGCGACCAGGAUGCAGGCCUGCAGAUGUGCACUUUGGAGCUCUGCCUGGAGCUGGGGUGGAGGAGCCUGCCUGCUGCCUCGUGCCCUCUGCCGGGCCUGGGGGAUGUCCCAGGCCCAGGGCUGGCUGCUGUCCUCCUGCUCCUCUUGCUGGAGUAAGCAGGGCCUGGGGUUUGUUAGCAGCAGCGGCAGCAGCAGGAGCAAGGCUAGGAGGCUGGAAACAAGCCACAUCCCAAAAUAGCUCUGAUAACCAUGGGGCAGGAGGGCCCAGCCAAGCCUCAGCCCUGACAAGCACAGCCUGCAGCUGGCCUCCCUCCCCACUGGGCCUGGGCUCAGUCCCUGGUUUCCACUGAUGGCCUGUAAGGCCCACUCACUCUAGGCUUUGUGGCCCACCUGAGAAGUGGGAGGCUGGCCUGGGAGAUGGGACCCUGUGACUCAGAACCCGAGGCUGUGUACAGCCCCCGUGGCUGGAGGUGGUCACAGAGGCCUGGCAGGAUAGGUGCACUGGAGCAGGGGGAGGUGGCGGGAGUGGACGGCAGAGGUUGCUGCAGGCUGGCAGGAGGCCCCUGGGACCUCAGUUCUGUGCCAGGAUCUGUCGGGGAAUACCAGGGGUGAGCAAGUAUGGAGAUGGGGUGGCAGGGUGUCACCCUGGGCAGGCUCUUUUAUGGGCAUGUGAGGGGGUCAGGGUGGGGUCUCAAGACCUUUCCUCCAGAAACUUCAGCCCAGCAGCGCCCGUUCUUGAAUCCUGGGGUUGGCCAUGAGCAGGUGGGACAGAAAUAGCAACAGCUGGAGACGUGUGACCUUGAAACCGGGGCACUCUGCUUGGUGGGGAGCUGCUGGAGCCUCCUUAAGGUUCUGCGAGACGCUGCACCUAGUGGGCUGCUGCCAGCUGCCCACUGUCCGCACCCACUGCUGCCGCUCGUGCUCUCCGCCCAGCCACGGCGCCCGCUCCCGAGGCCAUCAGCGGGUUGCCUGCCACUGACCGUGCCAGGAUGCACAGACCGACCAACAGACCUCAGUGCCCACCAUGGGCUGUGGCGGAGCUCCUGCCCCCUACGCCCUACGCCCUACGCCCUAAUGGUGCUAACCCCCUCUCACUAUCCAGCGGCAGGCUGGGGACCUCCUCCCCCCUCAAAAAAAGUAUUUUUUUAUUCUAACAGUUUGUGUAACAUUUAUUAUGAUUUUACAUAAAUGAGCAUCUACCAUUCCAAAGCACAGCAUGACUUCAUCUUGGAUUUGGAGAAUCUUAAAAGUGAGAAACUCUUCCCCCCACUCCUCUGCCCAAAACUCCACCGCCACAGCACCUCGGCAGGCGCGGCUUUUCACCUGCUCCUCUGGGGCAGAUCUGCAGGGUACAGAGCAGCAAACAAGUCCGUGAGAGCAUGGCGUCUGGUGAGGCACGGGCCUUGGAAGCUGGGGGGCUGCUGCCCAGGGAGGGCUAUCUGCGGAGGGUCGGGUUCUGGGGGCAGGAAGGUCUUCCGGGCAGGGGCACAGCUUGGCCCUUACUUGCUGCCUGCCUCUAGCUCGGCUCCCAGCUUUCCCUGGGGCCCCACUCUGUGGUCCUCAGAGACCUGUUCCACAGGGAUUGGGCCCACCUUGUCACUUGCAGGACUGCCCCUUGGAGUGAUGGGGACUGGGGCCCCCAGGGGCACCUCCCUGGGCCUGUUGUAUCUGUUGACUCUUCUGCAAAAAGUAGACAGAGAAGAGAGCAGGCUGGCCCGCUGUGCUCUACUGUGUCUGUCCCAGGACUCGGAAGGUAGGGAGGGAGCGUGGCCAGGGCGGCUGCCUGCAGGUGCGUGUCCUGCUGCUCCCCAACUCAACAUGCUCACCUCAUUUCACACCAACAAGCCCCAUCCUCAGAGGAGGAGCCCAAGGCUCUGAGAGGAAGUAACUGGCCCAAGGGCACAUGCCCUGGUGACACAGGCCCAUCCUAGGCCCUGACUGCC